UGUGGCCACACACGGAUUUGGGCUUCUGA
rnacentral:piRNA from 1 species